UACGUAGGGGGCGAGCGUUGUCCGGAUUUACUGGGCGUAAAGCGCGUGUAGGCGGGAGAUUAAGUUGGGUGUGAAAGCCCGGGGCUCAACCCCGGGAUGCCGCCCAAGACUGGUCUCCUUGAGGACGGAAGAGGGGAGUGGAAUUCCUGGUGUAGCGGUGAAAUGCGUAGAGAUCAGGAGGAACACCCGUGGCGAAGGCGGCUCCCUGGUCCGUUUCUGACGCUGAGACGCGAAAGCGCGGGGAGCGAACGGG
rnacentral:rRNA from 1 species